CCCUGUGGCUCAGUUGGUAGAGCAUGGUGUUUGCAAUGCCAGCAUGGUGUGUGCAACACCAGGGUUGUGGGUUCAAUUCCCACAGGGG
rfam:Salmo salar isolate Sally breed double haploid chromosome ssa04, whole genome shotgun sequence.